AUCUUUCCUAUGAGCGGAACGCGUAGAAUGUCUGCGAAAGGUCUGCCUUGUGAAAAAGCGAUAGACAAGCGAAUAAUCUGCCUUUCUAAAUUGAGCAAUAAAUCCUGACCCAGGACACUUGAACACCCGGCGGACUGCCCCACGACUCGGACAAGUGAAGGUCACGGGCAGGAGCAGAGUGCUCUCCACAGGGAGCAGGGUCAUGAGGAAUGAUUGGAAGCAUGGGUUUCGGGAUCAGAUGGGGGUGUGUUCUCAGCUUGAACCGCCAUAUUGGUGAUCUUGGAGAUUCCAUCUCUCUGGGUUUGCAUUUAUCCAUGUGUAUUUUCAGUGGUGACUCUACGGACACAUGAAUAUGAUGAAUCCAGGGACUGCUCUCUUUUCCAAGACUUGCCGAAAACACAGAUGUGUCCUGGAAAUUAAAACAACUUGCUGUGGAUUUCACAUGAACGUGAAAAUGACCACUAUCCCAUCCUCCGGAGAGGAGAGAUUUUAAUGGGGAAGAAAAAAGACAUGCUCCAGAGGACUCUUUCUUGUGUGUCUGUAUCUUAGCAAUCCAUUCCUGCUCCAUCAAAAUGCUGAAGUAUCUGCUUCCUGCUCCAGCAUCCCUCCGAGCCACAGCAAGCUAGCAGCCAGUACCAACAUGCAAAAAACACUAUCUUUAGGAACUUGACGUUUGAUAAUGAAUUUUCGCAAAAGGAAUGAUUUCCUGCCAGUUGUCUCCGCCUCUCAUUUACCACUGUGUUUCCGCUUAAGCACAAAUAAAUAGAGUAAAGCAAAC